rnacentral:rRNA from 1 species
UACGGGGGGCAAGCGUUGUUCGGAAUCACUGGGCGUAAAGGGUGCGUAGGCGGCGCGGUAAGUCGGGUGUGAAAUCUCGGAGCUUAACUCCGAAACUGCAUUCGAAUACUGCCGUGCUUGAGGACUGGAGAGGAGACUGGAAUUUACGGUGUAGCGGUGAAAUGCGUAGAUAUCGUAAGGAAGACCAGUGGCGAAGGCGGGUCUCUGGACAGUUCCUGACACUGAGGCACGAAGGUCAGGGGAGCAAACGGG